UAUUUGUAUAUAUUUAUGUAUUUGUAUAUACUGGUCUAUUUAUGCAUACAUACAUAUAUAUAUAUAUAUGCAUAUAAUGAUAUACAAUUAUAUGCAUGUCUGUGUGACUGAAUAUAUAUAUAUAUAUAUUCUCACAGACGUGUAUAUAUAUAUAUACAUAUAUAUAUGUGUGUAUAUAUAUAUAUAUUUGUAUGUAUGUAUAUAACUGCUGAGUUCAGGGUGCUAAAAUUAACACACUUCUAUUUUAUUUCAUGUUUUGUUGGGGGGGAGGUGGAAAAGUCUGUUAAAUUAAUCCAUCAUUUCUCAGCUAUGCCUCUGUGUAAAUGGAAAAAAAAAAAAGAAAAUGAAAAGACAAAAAAAAAAGAACUAAAGCUUUCACUUGGAAAAUUGGUUUUAAUUUCGAAUUAAAAAAAAAGUAAUUAAAUUUUUUU
rnacentral:lncRNA from 1 species